GAUGGUGACGUAAAAUCUCACCAGAGUAACAAUUGGAGGGCAAGUCUGGUGCCAGCAGCCGCGGUAAUUCCAGCUCCAAUAGCGUAUAUUAAACUUGUUGCAGUUAAAAAGCUCGUAGUUGAAUUUCUGCGUUGCCCGACUCGGCUACUUGCCUUGUCUGGUUUCGCUUUUGGGGUUUUCCCCUUUUUACUUUGAGAAAAUUAGAGUGUUUCAAGCAGACUUGUGUCUUGAAUACUUCAGCAUGGAAUAAUAAAGUAGGACUUUGGUUCUAUUUUGUUGGUUUGUGAACCUUAGUAAUGGUUAAUAGGAACGGUUGGGGGCAUUCGUAUUUAACUGUCAGAGGUGAAAUUCUUAGAUUUGUUAAAGACGAACUACUGCGAAAGCAUUUGCCAAGGACGUUUUCAUUAAUCAAGAACGAAAGUUAGGGGAUCGAAGACGAUCAGAUACCGUCGUAGUCCUAACCAUAAACCAUGCCGACUAGGGAUUGGAGGUCGUCAUUUUUCGACUCCUUCAGCACCUUGAGAGAAAUCAAAGUCUUUGGGUUCUGGGG
rnacentral:rRNA from 1 species